AGCUGUGUCAGAGCAAGCUUGUGUGAGCCAGCGGUGAUAUGUGUACACGCUGUAGGCUUUUAAAAUACUCAUGUGUCAUUCUCCUGCUAGUGUAACCCAGUGUUAAUUUACUUAUCUGAGAUUGUGUGAUAUUCAGUAUAUAUGUAUAUAUCUGUAUUGGGUGUUCAGUUAUAAAAUGUUCUUUAAUUAUUUUGAGUUUUUCUAUUGCUAUUGGUUUGCGGCUGCUUUACGACAGUCGACUGUGAUAGUACAUCCUAGCGGGAGGGGCUAUGAGCUCACAUGGCUUGUAGCUGUGCCUGAGAGCAAGCUUGGGUGAGCUAGCGGGGAAUAUCUCCUUCUGCAGUAGCCUUAAAAAAAGACUAUUGUUCGUUCUCCUGCCAGACGCCUCGCUGCUGUGCUGCCUUAUUGCUGCGCUGCCUUACUGCUGUGCUGCUGUGCUGCCUCGUUGUUGGGCUGUCUCGCGGGUGCCACUAAGGAUCGGCGGCUGCCAUUCAUUCAUCCAUCCGGACCUCGAUUAUUUGGACCGAAGUAGUCACACACACGCCCGCACUCAGUGCCAUACACUCUUUAUUUUGCUGGCCAGCUAACA